CUUGGGAUUUCAGAGGGUUCAAGUGACCCCCCGUCCUGGGGUUGCAGGCGCGAGUGACCCGCCUGCCUUGGCCUCUCCCCAUCCUGGGGUUGCAGGCAUGAGCCCCUGUGCCUGGCCUUGACCUUCUAGAAUGACGCGGAGACUUUUGAGCCUGUUGGCUCUGCCUGCUCUUUUUCCAGUUCACGUACUCUUAUCUGGAGUUUGGUCCUGUUCGUUCUAAAUCCUGCAAAUUGGACAUUAAAAAAACCAAAAGUAAGAGGAUCUCCCUGUGUUGCCCAGGCUGGUCUCAAACUCCUGGGCUAAAGGGAUCUGCCUGCCGCAGCCUCCCAGCAUGCCGGGAUUACAGGUACAAGCCCCAGUGCCCGGCCAAAUUGGACGUUAUUACUUCCUUUCCAAAAGAGUGGUUUACAUUUUCCUCACCACACACGGUUUGUGCCUCCACCCCGGGUCCCGCGUUCCCUGCUGUCCUGACUGCGUCUUUAACCUUCGUACCGUUGGUCCGGCCUGUUGGCGAUGUGCUGGGGCAGGAGGCCUUGCCCGUGCCCGCCCCCCGACUCUGAUUGUGUCUGUUUUUCCUUGGUGCCACUUUAUUUGGGUCUUUUCUGCCCAGGACAUGGCCCACCUGGACCUAGAGCUCUGUGACAUUUCUGUGAAGCCUCCGUCUACCUUUGGGACUCAGCAGAGGUGUGUUUAGAAUUCACUCUGCGUUUUGGGAGUCCCCAUGCAUGCUGAGGUGCCGUUCCCUGCCCACCCGUGUCCGAUCCGUCUUGGCCUCCCCGACCUCAGGGUGCCUAGGACCCCCCGACCUCUUCGGGUAUUUGGUUUCUGGCUCAGGAAGAGCAGCUGCCGGGUCCUGGAGGAGGGGGCCUGGGAAUCGCUGGCAGGCGUCACUCCUGCGACCUCCGACCCCUCCCCGCAUGGCUCCUGCGAGGGCCACCGCGUGAGUCCUGGGGCUGCUGUCCUCACGCCUCAGACCUGAUUCUGGGGACCGCGGUGAAGGCGUGGCAGGCGGGCAUCACUCCCUUCCCCCACCUCCAUCGCUGCCUCUCUCUGGGUCUGCGUCCUCUUCUCACAGGGACAGCAGUCGUUGACUCUCCCUGAUCCAGGAGGGUCUCUCCAGAUCCUUCCCUAACAGCAGAGACCCGGCUUGUGGGGAGGGACUGGGACUCAAGACUUCUUCACCAGCCUGAGGUUGGUGCUGGGGCUUGGCGGCGGCUGUGAGAAUCCUGUGCUGGAGAAAGCGUCUCUCGGCCGGCCUGUCUGGGGCGUCUGUGCCUCUCCUGGAUGGGUCUCAGUUUGGCCCCGUCCAUCCAUCCCAGGAGCUGCGGUGGAGCAGACAGGGAGGGGUGCCCCAGGACCCACAGCCCCGCCACUCCUGUCUUCCUUUAAGUGAACCGGUCGUGUAGAUGGAGGUUGUUCAGAAAGGGAUGAGAUGGGACGGCCGCUGGGCCUCAUCCUCCCGCAGUGACCGCGAAGCAGAGGCCGCUGCGCUUGUGGCAGGGGCUUAGGCCAGGGCAGAGUCGGGCCUCACGUGCAGGGGGCUGAGUGUGGGCCUCAACACUGGACUUGGCCACUGACUGCAGUGAGCCCCAAGAUGGGGCAGGCGGUGGUGUUUCUGUCCUGGAGACCCAGGGUGGCUUGGGUCCUUGGGAUGUGUGGGGACCUCGGGGUGAGGGCCCGUUGGGGCCGGGUGGGCACGGCGGGAGAGCGGGGGCCACACACCCAGAGGCAGUGCCGUGUCCCGGCCGGGAGGGUUCCUGGGAAGCUCUGCUCAGCCCCAGUCUCAAGUCAUUUCUAGAAACUGUGUUUUCCUCCCUGUGACGUCACACGUGAAGGAAACGGAAAAGGGCAGUGAGUCCUUCGCCCCGCGGCGCCGUGCGCACGUCAGCCUUCAGGGUGAUUCCGCUCCUCCAGAGGGGCAGGCGCGGGUGUGGGGGGUGGGGCCCGGGCCCAUCCUGAGGGGUCCCAGGCAUGAGGGGCUCUGAGCUGUGUCCUGGGGGGGUCUGGGCCGUGGGGAGGUUCUGGAUCAUGUCUUGAGGGGUCUGGGCUGUGGGGGGUCCAGGCCAUGUCCUGGGGGUCUGGGCUGUGUCUGUGGGGAGUCAGGGCCAUCCAUGUAUUGGGGGUCUGGGGCGGGGGGGGUCAGGCUGUCUUGGGGAGUCCGGGCUGUGUGGAGGGGUCCAAGCUAUGCCUUUGGGGAUCAGGCCUGUGGGAGGCUCUGGGUUAUGUCUUGGCGGGGGUCCAGGCCGUGUCUUGGGGGCUGGGCCACGUUCUGGGGACGUGUGAAUCCUGGAGGGUGGGGCCCCGGUCUCGCGGGAGGCUGUGUCCCUCGAGUUCAGGCAGCACCUCUCGGAACUUUCUCGAUCUGCGUGCUGGCGUCUGUCGGCCUCGAUACCCACAGGCUGCGCCCCUCUCAGCACAGGAAGUCCUGGAGAACCUGAAGGACCGCUGGUACCAGGCGGACAGCCCCCCUGCGGACCUGCUGCUGACGGAGGAGGAGUUCCUGUCAUUCCUCCACCCCGAGCACAGCCGGGGAAUGCUCAGGUUCAUGGUGAAGGAGAUCGUCCGGGACCUGGACCAGGACGGUGACAAGCAGCUCUCUCUGCCCGAGUUCAUCUCCCUGCCUGUGGGCACCGUGGAGAACCAGCAGGGCCAGGACAUUGACGACAACUGGGUGAAAGACAGAAAAAAGGAGUUUGAGGAGCUCAUUGACUCCAACCACGACGGCAUCGUGACCGCCGAGGAGCUGGAGAGCUACAUGGACCCCAUGAACGAGUACAACGCGCUGAACGAGGCCAAGCAGAUGAUCGCCGUCGCCGACGAGAACCAGAACCACCACCUGGAGCCCGAGGAGGUGCUCAAGUACAGCGAGUUCUUCACGGGCAGCAAGCUGGUGGACUACGCGCGCAGCGUGCACGAGGAGUUCUGAGCGCCCGGCCGCGCCCCGCGCCGCCCCCCACGCACCACCGGCGCGGCCCCGCGGGUGACUCCGGGCUCCGUGGCUGUCCCUCCGUGGCUGUCCCGGGCCCCACCUCCUCCCUGCCGCCCGCCACCGGCCGACCGCCCGCGGCUGCCCCGGCUGAUGAGCGGCGCGUCCCCUCUGCAGCGCGCACCCCGGCGGGGCUUCGGCUGUGACGCGGCCGGGGCGCGGGGCGGGGCGCGGGGCUGGGCUGUGGCCCCGCGGCGCCGCCUCCUCCCUGGUCCCUCGAAAUCGUUGCAUCUCACUUCUGAGAACGAAAUCUCGCUUCACUCACUCUGCCGAAGGCGCUGACGGCAUCGCGGCCGGAACCUCUGGGCCCGGCCCCUCCCAGGGCCGCCGCUCCGUGGGAAAUAACAGCUCCUCCAUUUCCUUGAAAACUGAACGAUUAUUAAAAAUAGAUUAAACUUCGCUGGAAAUGAGUAGCCAGGAAGUUCAGGGGAGGGUGCCGGGUCCUUCCCGGGCCUGGCGUGUCGGAGCCACCCAGGUCCCGCAGCUGCCGCUGAGAAAAUGCAAAUAUUUGUUGUGACAAGAAUCACAUUAAUUUACUUUAAAUAU
rnacentral:sRNA from 1 species